GCCCGAGUGGUGAAAUUGGUAUACACGUAUGCCUUAGGAGCAUAUGCCUUACGGCGUGCAAGUUCAAGUCUUGUCUCGGGCACCA
rnacentral:tRNA from 1 species